CAGUCGCCGCGGGAAUACGAAGGGUGCAAGCGUUAAUCGGAAUUACUGGGCGUAAAGCGUGCGUAGGUGGUGGUUUAAGUCCGUUGUGAAAGCCCUGGGCUCAACCUGGGAAUUGCAGUGGAUACUGGGUCACUAGAGUGUGGUAGAGGAUAGUGGAACUUCCGGUGUAGCAGUGAAAUGCGUAGAGAUCGGAAGGAACAUCUGUGGCGAAGGCGACUAUCUGGGCCAACACUGACACUGAGGCACGAAAGCGUGGGGAGCAAACAGGAUUAGAUACCCCUGUAGUCCCUGUCUCUUAUAC
rnacentral:rRNA from 1 species